rnacentral:rRNA from 1 species
ACCGGCGCACGGGUGCGUAACGCGUGGGAAUCUACCCAUAGGUAAGGAACAACGUUUGGAAACGAACGCUAAUACCUUAUAAUGACUCCGGUCCAAAGAUUUAUCGCCUAUGGAUGAGCCCGCGUCUGAUUAGCUAGUUGGUGAGGUAACGGCUCACCAAGGCGAUGAUCAGUAGGGGGUCUGAGAGGAUGAUCCCCCACACUGGGACUGAGACACGGCCCAGACUCCUACGGGAGGCAGCAGUAAGGAAUAUUGGACAAUGGAGGAAACUCUGAUCCAGCCAUGCCGCGUGAAUGAAGAAGGCCUUAGGGUUGUAAAGUUCUUUUAAUCGUGAAGAUAAUGACGGUAGCGAUAGAAAAAGCUCCGGCUAAAUUCGUGCCAGCAGCCGCGGUAAUACGAAUGGAGCAAGCGUUGUUCGGAAUCACUGGGCUUAAAGCGUGCGUAGGCGGAAGCGUAAGUCAGGAGUGAAAUCCCGGGGCUCAACCCCGGAACUGCUCUUGAAACUACGCUUCUAGAAUCCGAUAGAGGUCAGGAGAAUUCCUAGUGUAGAGGUGAAAUUCGCAGAUAUUAGGAGGAAUACCAGUGGCGUAGGCGCCUGACUGGGUCGGUAUUGACGCUGAGGUACGAAAGCGUGGGUAGCAAACAGGAUUAGAUACCCUGGUAGUCCACGCCGUAAACGAUGUGUGCUAGUUGUC